rnacentral:rRNA from 1 species
AUUGAACGCUGGCGGCAUGCUUUACACAUGCAAGUCGAACGGUAACAGGUUAAGCUGACGAGUGGCGAACGGGUGAGUAAUGCAUCGGAACGUGCCCAGUCGUGGGGGAUAACGCAGCGAAAGCUGUGCUAAUACCGCAUACGAUCUCUGGAUGAAAGCGGGGGACCGAAAGGCCUCGCGCGAUUGGAGCGGCCGAUGUCAGAUUAGGUAGUUGGUGGGGUAAAGGCCCACCAAGCCAACGAUCUGUAGCUGGUCUGAGAGGACGACCAGCCACACUGGGACUGAGACACGGCCAAGACUCCUACGGGAGGCAGCAGUGGGGAAUUUUGGACAAUGGGGGCAACCCUGAUCCAGCAAUGCCGCGUGCAGGAAGAAGGCCUUCGGGUUGUAAACUGCUUUUGUACGGAACGAAAAGCUCUGGGCUAAUACCUUGGGGUCAUGACGGUACCGUAAGAAUAAGCACCGGCUAACUACGUGCCAGCCGCCGCCGUAACAC